rnacentral:rRNA from 1 species
GAUGAACGCUAGCGAUAGGCCUAACACAUGCAAGUCGAGGGGCAGCACAUGAAGCAGCAAUGCGGAUGGUGGCGACCGGCGCACGGGUGAGUAACGCGUAUGCAACCUACCUACAACAGGGGAAUAACCCGUUGAAAAACGGACUAAUACCCCAUAAAACAGGGAUCCCGCAUGGGAAUAUUUGUUAAAGAUUUAUCGGUUGUAGAUGGGCAUGCGUUCCAUUAGCUAGUUGGUGAGGUAACGGCUCACCAAGGCAACGAUGGAUAGGGGAACUGAGAGGUUUAUCCCCCAACUGGUACUGAGACACGGACCAGACUCCUACGGGAGGCAGCAGUGAGGAAUAUUGGUCAAUGGGCGCAAGCCUGAACCAGCCACGUCGCGUGAAGGAGACGGCCCUAGGGUUUAAACUUCUUUUAGAAGGGAUAAAGUGUAGUACGUGUACUAUUUGCAUGUACCUUACGAAUAAGGUCGGCUAACUCCGUGCCAGCAGCCGCGGUAAACUACUCG